GACGAACGCUGGCGGCGUGCUUAACACAUGCCAGUCGAACGAUGAAGCGGGUGCUUGCACUCGUGGAUUAGUGGCGAACGGGCGAGUAACACGUGAGUAACCUGUCCUUUUCUUUGGGAUAACGGCUGGAAACGGCUGCUAAUACUGGAUAUUCAGGCUGCAUCGCAUGGUGUGGUUUGGAAAGGUUUUUUCUGGGAUUGGGUGGGCUCGCGGCCUAUCAGCUUGUUGGUGGGGUGAUGGCUUACCAAGGCUUUGACGGGUAGCCGGCCUGAGAGGGUGGUCGGUCGCACUGGGACUGGGAUACGGCCCAGACUCCGACGGGAGGCAGCAGUGGGGAAUAUUGCACAAUGGACGAAAGUUUGAUGCAGCGACGCCGCGUGGAGGGUGUAGGCCUUCGGGUUGUGAACUCCUUUUUCUCGCGAAAAAGGCACAGUUUUGGCUGUGUUGAUGGUAGUGGGGGAAGAAGCGCCGGCUAACUACGUG
rnacentral:rRNA from 1 species